rnacentral:snRNA from 1 species
AUACCUUUCUCGGCCUUUUGGCUAAAAUCAAGUGUAGUAUAUGUUCUUAUCAGUUUAAUAUCGUUUAAUAUCUAAUACGUGAAUCAUUGAUUCACAUGAUAUUAAAUUUAUUUUUUUAGGGAGACGGCUCAUCACAAUAGCUUGCUAUUGGAGUCCUUGAGUGUUGCUUGUGUGUUGCACUAUAGCGCAGGCCUGGUGCAACCCUC